CCUGUGCACACAACUGACAACUGGGCCACUAGGCGUUGCUAAGUAUGCUGGUUGGGUUCAGACUUCAGAAUGCUGCUGGCUCCUGCAGCCUGGGCCAACAAAAUAUGUUCUAGUGAAAUCUGUGUUAAUAGACAGCUUAUCGAUGCGUAGGAGCGUGGUGAUUGUAUACAAGGUAUUUGUGAGUAUAAAUGAGAAGAAUGUAUUUUCUUACAGUUAAAUUAUUCUGGGGUUUUGUCAUGCAUGGUCAUGCUGAUGCUGCAAUACAACUCUUUCAUGAGAUGGUGAAGAUAGACCAUGCUGUUUUAUGGAAGAAACAGUGAGCUCAAAAUACUGGCGUCAGGGUUCGACUGAAUUAUCAGGAACAUCAAUCAGACUUUGUAGUUCUCCAUGAGAUUAUUGCUUCUGAUUUUUGAGGGAUGGUGUACUUAACUGGUAUUUUUGAAGCUGAGUUCGGAAGCUAGAAAAUGUGGAAAAAAAAGGUUUAAGAAGAUGCCACAAUGACCACUUUGUUUUGUUAAUGUUUUCCAAUGACACCCAAUGUAAAUUCAAGAAAAAAAUGUAGUUUCCAAUGGCACCCGAUGUAA